rnacentral:rRNA from 1 species
UACGUAGGUGGCAAGCGUUGUCCGGAUUUACUGGGUGUAAAGGGCGUGUAGCCGGGUUGACAAGUCAGAUGUGAAAUCCUGCGGCUUAACCGCAGAACUGCAUUUGAAACUGUUGAUCUUGAGUACUGGAGAGGCAGACGGAAUUCCUAGUGUAGCGGUGAAAUGCGUAGAUAUUAGGAGGAACACCAGUGGCGAAGGCGGUCUGCUGGACAGCAACUGACGAUGAGGCGCGAAAGCGUGGGGAGCAAACAGG